CGAACGGUAACAGGUCUUCGGAUGCUGACGAGUGGCGAACGGGUGAGUAAUACAUCGGAACGUGCCCAGUAAUGGGGGAUAGCUCGGCGAAAGCCGGAUUAAUACCGCAUACGCCCUGAGGGGGAAAGUGGGGGACCGCAAGGCCUCACGUUAUUGGAGCGGCCGAUGGCUGAUUAGCUAGUUGGUAGGGUAAAGGCCUACCAAGGCGACGAUCAGUAGCUGGUCUGAGAGGACGAUCAGCCACACUGGGACUGAGACACGGCCCAGACUCCUACGGGAGGCAGCAGUGGGGAAUUUUGGACAAUGGGGGAAACCCUGAUCCAGCAAUGCCGCGUGUGCGAAGAAGGCCUUCGGGUUGUAAAGCACUUUUGUCAGGGAAGAAAUCCUUUGGGCUAAUACCCUAGGGGGAUGACGGUACCUGAAGAAUAAGCACCGGCUAACUACGUGCCAGCAGCCGCGGUAAUACGUAGGGUGCAAGCGUUAAUCGGAAUUACUGGGCGUAAAGCGUGCGCAGGCGGUUGUGUAAGACAGGUGUGAAAUCCCCGGGCUUAACCUGGGAAUUGCAUUUGUGACUGCACGACUAGAGUGUGUCAGAGGGGGGUGGAAUUCCACGUGUAGCAGUGAAAUGCGUAGAUAUGUGGAGGACACCAAUGGCGAAGGCAGCCCCUGGGAUAACACUGACGCUCAUGCACGA
rnacentral:rRNA from 1 species